GACGAACGCUGGCGGCGUGCCUAAUACAUGCAAGUCGUGCGGGGUCUUGAAGGGCUUGCCCUUUAAGACCCAGCGGCGAACGGGUGAGUAACACGUGGGUAACCUGCCCGCAAGACCGGG
rnacentral:rRNA from 1 species